GCGGCCGUGACCCUGCUGGAGUGCGGGGGGGACCUCCAGCCCCCCGGGGGGUCCCUGCGCCUCCUCUGCCGAGGGGUCGGGUUCAGUUUCGGCAGUUUUGGGAUGGGCUGGGUCCGCCAGAGACCCGGGCAGGCGCUGGAAUUUGUCGCUGGCAUUGACAACGAUGGAUACACCAGAUACCCGUCUGCGUUCAAGGGCCGGGUCACGAUCUCCAGGGACAACGGGCAGAGCUCGGUGACGCUGACCAUGAACAGCCUCAAGGACGAGGAUUCCGCCGUUUAUUUCUGCGGGAAAUCUGUUUAUAAUAUUUGGGCUUAUGCUGCUUAUGAUUUUGGCCCUGGCCCCGUCCCUGUGUCCUCACUUGUCCCAGUAUUCCAGACCUUUCCCUCAAACCCCAGCCCCUGA